rnacentral:rRNA from 1 species
UACGUAGGGUCCAAGCGUUAUUCGGAAUUACUGGGCGUAAAGCGUACGUAGGCGGUUUGGUAAGUUGGAUGUGAAAUCCUGUGGCUCAACCACAUGGACUGUGUCCAAAACUACCAAACUUGAGCAUAGUAGAGGCAAGUGGAAUUUGCGGUGUAGGAGUGACAUCCGUAGAUAUCGCAAGGAACACCAAUGGCGAAGGCAGCUUGCUGGGCUAUUGCUGACGCUCAGGUACGAAAGCGUGGGGAGCGAA